rnacentral:rRNA from 1 species
AUUGAACGCUGGCGGCAUGCCUUACACAUGCAAGUCGAACGGUAACGCGGGGCAACCUGGCGACGAGUGGCGAACGGGUGAGUAAUGCAUCGGAACGUGCCCAGUUGUGGGGGAUAACUGCUCGAAAGAGCAGCUAAUACCGCAUACGACCUGAGGGUGAAAGCGGGGGACCGCAAGACCUCGCGCAAUUGGAGCGGCCGAUGUCGGAUUAGCUAGUUGGUGGGGUAAAGGCCCACCAAGGCGACGAUCCGUAGCUGGGCUGAGAGGACGACCAGCCACACUGGGACUGAGACACGGCCCAGAGUCCUACGGGAGGCAGCAGUGGGGAAUUUUGGACAAUGGACGCAAGUCUGAUCCAGCCAUGCCGCGUGCGGGAAGAAGGCCUUCGGGUUGUAAACCGCUUUUGUCAGGGAAGAAAUCUUCUGGGUUAAUACCUCGGGAGGAUGACGGUACCUGAAGAAUAAGCACCGGCUAACUACGUGCCAGCCGCCGCCGUAACAC